AGUACUGUCGAGCGGUUUGAUAAACAGGCUGUUAUCGCGCAGCGACACAUCGCCUUUUGCGGUAACCCGUUCGCCGUCCAGCGGGAUAUCCAGAUGUAAGCGAGCAUUCACAUCGCCGUCGAUCUGCAACUGCUCAAGCGUGGCACCCAGCGAUGUUUUCAACGGUGUGUCAUCAAAAUAUGGUCCCACCGCCUUGCCCGGCCCCUGAAUAUCGGCGUCAAUCAGCAACUUUUCUUUCGCGUAGUCCGGGAUAAUAGCCGUCAGAUUCGUGGCCUUCACGCCGCCUAAAUUAACGCCAUCGGUUUUCAUCCACAGGCCGUCGUUAAGGAAAUCCAGCUCAAUAUUCAGAUCGGUCAGCGCCGGCCAGUCCGGUUGAAAAGCAAAUUUUGCAUU
rnacentral:ncRNA from 1 species